UACAGAGGGGGCAAGCGUUGUUCGGAAUUACUGGGCGUAAAGGGCGCGUAGGCGGCCUGUUAAGUCGAACGUGAAAUCCCCGGGCUCAACCCGGGAACUGCGUCCGAAACUGGCAGGCUUGAAUCCGGGAGAGGGAUGUGGAAUUCCAGGUGUAGCGGUGAAAUGCGUAGAUAUCUGGAGGAACACCGAUGGCGAAGGCAGCCCCCUGGGCUAACACUGACGCUCAUGCACGAAAGCGUGGGGAGCAAACAGG
rnacentral:rRNA from 1 species